UUAAGAUAGUAAGAGCAUACGGUGGAUGCCUUGGCGAUAUCUGCCGAUGAAGGACGCGACAAGCUGCGAAAAGCUGCGGUGAGGUGCAAAUGACCUUUGACCCGCAGAUGUCCGAAUGGAGCAAUCCGGCUGUGGUUAUGCACAGUCACCCAUGCCUGUGAGUAUGGGAGGGAACCAGGCGAACUGAAACAUCUAAGUAGCCUGAGGAGAAGUAAUCAAACGAGAUACCCCCAGUAGCGGCGAGCGAACGGGGCAGAAGCCCAAACCGCAGAAGGAAACUUUUACGGGGUUGAGGGCCGUCAUACGAACGUGGAAUCCAGCUGAAGCUUCUGGGAAGGAGCGCCGCAGGAUGUGAAAGCCAUGUAAGCGAAAGAGGAAGCGGAACAGACGGUACCAGAGUACCGCGGGACACGAGAAACCCCGUGGGAAGCAGGGGGGACCACCCUCCAAGGCAAAACACAGAUAUCGACCGAUAGCGCAUAGUACCAUGAGGGAAAGGUGAAAAGCACCCCGGGAGGGGAGUGAAACAGAACCUGAAACCGUAUGUUUACAAGCAGUCGGAGACCGUAUAUAUAUCAGGUCGACGGCGUGCCUAUUGAAGAAUGAACCGGCGAGUUAUGAGGUCCAGCGAGGUUAAGCAGGAAAUGCGGAGCCGAAGCGAAAGCGAGUCUUAACAGGGCGAGUAGUUGGACUGCAUAGACCCGAAACCACAGUGAUCUACCCAUGUCCAGGUUGAAGCACAGGUAAAAAUGUGUGGAGGACCGAACCUAUAUCCGUUGAAAAGGGUUAGGAUGAGGUGUGGGUAGGGGUGAAAUUCCAAUCGAACGUGGAGAUAGCUGGUUCUCCCCGAAAUAGCUUUAGGGCUAGCCUCAGGGUAAAGAUUGCAGGCGGUAGAGCACUGAUCAGGAGAGGGACCUACCCGGUUACCAAACCCAGUCAAACUACGAAUGGCUGCAAUUAUACCUGGGAGUCAGACUACGACUUAUAAGGGCCGUGGUCAAAAGGGAAACAGCCCAGAUCAUCAGCUAAGGUCCCAAAUGCCGUGCUAAGUGGCGAAGGAUGUGGCGUUUCAUAAACAACCAGGAUGUUGGCUCAGAAGCAGCCACCAUUUAAAGAGUGCGUAAUAGCUCACUGGUCGAGAGACGCUGCGCCGAAAAUGUCCGGGGCUCAAGCACGGAACCGAAGCUAUGGCAUUGCGUAAGCAAUGGGUAGGGGAGCGUUCUUAUGGGGAAGAAGCAUUACCGUAAGGAGAUGUGGACACAUAAGAAGUGAGAAUGCCGGUAUGAGUAUCGAAAAGAAAGGUGAGAAUCCUUUCCACCGAAAGCCCGAGGGUUCCUGAGCAACGAUCGUCGUCUCAGGGUAAGUCGGGACCUAAGCCGAGGCACAGACGCAUAGGCGAUGGACAACAGGUUGAAAUUCCUGUACCGGAUGGAGUCAUUUGAGCAAUGGAGUGACGCAGGAGGGCACAUGAUCGCGCGACUGGAAGAGCGCGUCCAAGUGCGUAUGUUGAAUCGGAGGCAAAUCCCCGAUUCUGAAAGCAGAGACAUGAUGGGGAGUUAUAAGCGAUUAUGACGAACUCAUGGAUCCCACACUGCCAAGAAAAACUUCUAGCGAGACGAAAUCCGCCCGUACCGUAAACCGACACAGGUAGGCGGGGAGAGAAUCCUAAGGUGCGCGGGAAAACCCUCGUUAAGGAACUCGGCAAAUUGCAUCCGUAACUUCGGGAGAAGGAUGGCCCUGAGUAGGCGAAGUGCAGAAACGCACGGAACAGAAAAGGGUGGCAGAAAAGAGGCCCAAGCAACUGUUUACCAAAAACACAGGUGCCUGCGAAAGCGAAAGCUGAAGUAUAGGUGCUGACGCCUGCCCGGUGCUGGAAGGUUAAGGAGAGAGGUUAGCGCAAGCGAAGCUUUGAACUGAAGCCCCAGUGAACGGCGGCCGUAACUAUAACGGUCCUAAGGUAGCGAAAUUCCUUGGCGGGUAAGUUCCGACCCGCAUGAAAGGCGUAAUGAUUUGGGCACUGUCUCAACAGCCCGCCCGGCGAAA
rnacentral:rRNA from 1 species